rnacentral:rRNA from 1 species
AUUGAACGCUGGCGGCAGGCCUAACACAUGCAAGUCGAACGGUAACAGGAAGCAGCUUGCUGCUUCGCUGACGAGUGGCGGACGGGUGAGUAAUGUCUGGGAAACUGCCUGAUGGAGGGGGAUAACUACUGGAAACGGUAGCUAAUACCGCAUAACGUCGCAAGACCAAAGAGGGGGACCUUAGGGCCUCUUGCCAUCGGAUGUGCCCAGAUGGGAUUAGCUAGUAGGUGGGGUAACGGCUCACCUAGGCGACGAUCCCUAGCUGGUCUGAGAGGAUGACCAGCCAGACUGGAACUGAGAAACGGCCCAGACUCCUACGGGAGGCAGCAGUGGGGAAUAUUGCACAAUGGGCGCAAGCCGGAUGCAGCCAUGCCGCGUGUAUGAAGAAGGCCUUCGGGUUGUAAAGUACUUUCAGCGGGGAGGAAGGGAGUAAAGUUAAUACCUUUGCUCAUUGACGUUACCCGCAGAAGAAGCACCGGCUAACUCCGUG